rnacentral:rRNA from 1 species
GACAAAUAGAAAAAUUCUUUUUAUAAUAAAAUUUAAAUAAUAAAUUUAAUUAUAGUUAUUAAAAAUUAAGGUGAAAUUUUUUUUUAAUUAAAUUUUAUAUAAAAUUAAAAUUCUUAUAAUAAACUAGGAUUAGAUACCCUAUUAUUUUAGAGCUUUACAUUGUAAGUAAAUAAUAAUUACGAAAGCAAAAAAUUAUGGCGGUAUUUUAAGCUUUUCAGAGGAAUUUGCUCUUUAAUGGAUAAAACACCUAAAUCUUACUUAAAUUUGUUAGGCCAAUUUGUAUACCACUAUUAAAUUAAUUAAUAAUUUUAAUUUAUAAAAUUUAUAUAAAUUUAAAAAAAAUUAAGUCAAGGUGCAGUAAAAAUUUAAGAAUGAAGUGAAUUACAAUUCUCUUAAGAGAUUAUUUAAAUUAAAAUUUUAAUUUAGGAUUUGAAAGUAAAAUUAAAAUAGAAUGUUAAUUUGAAUAAAGCUCUAAAAUAU